GAUGAACGCUGGCGGCGUGCCUAAUACAUGCAAGUCGAGCGAACAGACGAGGAGCUUGCUCCUCUGACGUUAGCGGCGGACGGGUGAGUAACACGUGGAUAACCUACCUAUAAGACUGGGAUAACUUCGGGAAACCGGAGCUAAUACCGGAUAAUAUAUUGAACCGCAUGGUUCAAUAGUGAAAGACGGUUUUGCUGUCACUUAUAGAUGGAUCCGCGCCGCAUUAGCUAGUUGGUAAGGUAACGGCUUACCAAGGCAACGAUGCGUAGCCGACCUGAGAGGGUGAGCGCCCCAAGUGGAACAGAGACCGGGCACAGACACCGCCGGAGGGCGCAAGGAGGGAAUCUUCCGAAAGGGUGGAAAGCCGGAGGGAGCAACGCGGGGGGAGUGAGGAAGGUCUUCGGAUCGAAAAACUCUGUUAUGAGGGAAAAAAAAAUGUGUAAGUAACUAGGCACGUCUGGACGGUACCUAAUCAGAAAGCCACGGCUAACUACGUG
rnacentral:rRNA from 1 species